ACAUAGCCUAUGAGAGGUUAGG
rnacentral:miRNA from 2 species